GAUGAACGUUGGCGGUGUGCCUAAUACAUGCAAGUCGAACGGAGUUAAUAGCAAUAUUGACUUAGUGGCGAACGGGUGAGUAACGCGUUGGUGAUCUGCCUCAAAGUGUGGAAUAACGUUCCGAAAGGAACGCUAAUACCGCAUGUGCUCUCGAUUUUUUAGAAAGUUGAGAGUAAAGGAUUUAUUCGCUUUGAGAGGAGCCUGCGUCCCAUCAGCUAGUUGGUAGGGUAAUAGCCUACCAAGGCGAUGACGGGUAGGGGACCUGAGAGGGUGGCCCCCCAAAUGGAACUGAAACACGGUCCAUACACCUACGGGUGGCAGCAGUAGGGAAUAUUAGUAAUGGGCAAAGCCUGAACUAGCAACGCCGCGUGUGCGAAGAAGGCCUUGGGUCGUAAAGCACUUUUUGAGAGGAUGAGGAAGGACGGUACUCUCAGAAUAAGUCUCGGCUAACUACGUGCCAGCAGCCGCGGUAAGAGUGUGUGUA
rnacentral:rRNA from 1 species